rnacentral:rRNA from 1 species
UACGGAGGGUGCAAGCGUUAUCCGGAUUUACUGGGUUUAAAGGGUGCGUAGGUGGGUUGGUGAGUCAGUGGUGAAAUACUUUCGCUUAACGAAGGAACUGCCAUUGAUACUACCAGCCUUGAAUACAGUGGAGGUGGGGCGGAAUGCGUCAUGUAGCGGUGAAAUGCUUAGAUAUGACGCAGAACACCAAUUGCGAAGGCAGCUUGCUACGCUGUUAUUGACACUGAGGCACGAAAGCGUGGGGAUCAAACAGG